rnacentral:lncRNA from 1 species
ACUGCUAUUUGCACAGAAACUUUCCACAGAGCUUGUAAUUUGCAUGGUCUUUCUGCUCCCCCAUUAACUGCUCCAUCCCUCUUUCCAGGUUGGAAGAGAAGAGGGGGAUCUGCCAGGUGGCUGCAUCUUGGAACACAGGCCUUGCUUUCCUGUGCCAUUUUGGAGCAGUCCUGUGUGUGGGAGAAGUACAGCUGUGGGACGCCUGAUGAAAAGAGGAAAUGGUUAGCUGGUAGCACAGGAGCCUCGUGCAAGAGGAAGAAACGUAGAAGAAAAGAAAUUGCAGUGCAGUUUCUCUGCCGAGGGAUAUCGACUGUAACAUUUACUCUGUGUCUGAGCAUGGACCCUCAGCUGUGCAGGGGGACACCAAGCCAAGGAAGGAUAUAAGGAACCCAGGCUAUGGAAUUUAUUUCUCCAGAAAAGCCUGACAAGGCCUGAGGUAAUUUUCUGUGCUGUGCAGUAAUCACUCCCUCAGUGCAGGGAACAAAUGGACACCCAGCUCUCCGUGUAAGUCACGGCCUGGUGCUGUUUCCCCUGGGCCCCAGGCAGAGGGACCGGGAGAUCCCAGCCCUCCUGCACGGCUCAGGUGUGUCCUGCACUACCUGCACCAGUGAGGACACCCUGCAGUGGGAAGGGCCAUUCUGUGACUCCUCACUCUCUGCCUUGGCUCUGUCCUGGCCUGCUGCCAUCCCAGCAGCACCACGGAGCAGGCGGAGCAAAUCCUGAAGACUGCGAGCGCCAGAAUCUGCACGGCUAAAAGAGGGCAGCAGCACCCCGGUAACGUUUGUCUGCUGAUGGAGACUCAGCAAGAGAGCUUGGGCCACAUCUCCCUUGGCUGAGUACACAUUGUUUGUCAGGCAGAAUGCUCUCCCGGCCUUCUAUGCUCCCACCAAACCAUUCAGUAAAAGGAUAAUAUUUUUCUUCCUACUACACUUCCCUUUUUUUUUAUUGCUGAAUGUUUCCUAAAUUGACUUUUUUUUUCCUUUGAAACCAUUAACAUAUUUAAAAACUAAAGUCAUGUAAUGAUUUAAAACAAAAAAAAAAAAAAAAACAGGGGGGGGGGGGGGGGGGGGGGGGGGGGGGGGGGGGGGGGGGGGGGGGGGGGGGGGGGGGGGGGGGGGGGGGGGGGGGGGGGGGGGGGGGGGGGGGG